rnacentral:lncRNA from 1 species
ACAAAACGGAACGGAAAACCGAUCGUUAACAGACUUUUACAUGAUAAUGACCGGUGGGGCGUGGUUUGUCUGUUUGAGUGACGUUCCGUGAUAAAACGCAACGCGAUUCAGACGUGUUUGCAGUUUACAGUUAGGGGAAUGGAAGACACGUCUGCUAGUGUAGACAACUGUAAUUAAGGUCUUUCCUUUUUCAAAAGGGAAAGACCUUACUGUAUUUCUUCUGUUUAUUAUUAGGUCUUUCCACCUUUCCGUGUGGAAAGACCUAUUGAUUUUGUUCUGAUUAUUUUUUUUUUUUCUUCCGCCUAAUUUUUUUCUUGCGGUGUAUAAAUGUUUCAAAAGAUGUCGCUUAGUUUUUUUGUAUAUGAGAUCAUACAGUCUAUACG